rnacentral:rRNA from 1 species
UACGUAGGGUGCAAGCGUUAAUCGGAAUUACUGGGCGUAAAGCGUGCGCAGGCGGUUAUGCAAGACAGAUGUGAAAGCCCCGGGCUCAACCCGGGAGGGUCGUCGUGAACCGGGGGGCUUGAGGCCGGUAGAGGUGGGUGGAACUCCUGGUGGAGUGGUGAAAUGCGUAGAGAUCAGGAAGAACACCCGUGGCGAAGGCGGCCCACUGGGCCGGUACUGACGCUGAGGCACGAAGGCGUGGGGAGCGAACGGG